UGUCAAACCUUUGGAUGAAGAAAAGGAUUCAAAUUAGAGAAUCAAGAUCAUUCUCCUGCCUUAGAGUUCUGCAGGGUGAGUGCUACGAUCACAGGAGUCAGCACUGCAUCUGGCUCAAUAUAUACAGUCUAUAUGUUUACUGUUUUAAAGAAUGAGCUCAUACUACUUUUUAUUUUUAUUUAUUUUUAUUUUUGAAACAAGUUAAAUAUCCUGAGUGGCCAUGAGUUUGUUGCAUUCCUUAUGUAUGAACAACACAUCUAGAUUUUAAAAGAAAAUAGUUUAUUUUAAAAGUGAUACAGACAGGAAAUGUUUUGCGUUUCAGAGACAUCACUGUACAUGGCGGCUAUUAGACUUCUUGAGUGAGUGAAUUCCGUGCUGGGCUACUGGUACUUCAGCAAAAAGAAAAGUGAAAAGGUGUUUCAGGUGAGUGAUCUUGCAUGUAUGGAUCUAAAUAAAUAUUUAAGCACUUUUAUGAAAUGUUUAAAAAAAUAAUUUCCUGUAAAAACAAACCUAGCUCCCCGUCUGGUGUCCUCUCCCUACAAUAUUAUCACAUGGUUAGGUUGAAACCUGUUCUGCACAAUUUUCCCAUCAACAAUUCCAAUAGUGAAGGAAACAAACUCUACACCUUAGAACUUUGGACGCAGAUCUUAAAAAAAAAAAAAAAUCCCCCAAAGCACUGCGGUCUAUGUUAUUUUGUCUGAAUUUAAAAUACUGAGCCUUUCGUGUUCUUUUAUAUACAGUAUUUAAAAAAAAAAAAAGCUUCAAGAGAAAAGGAAAAAAGUAACUAGGAAACUAGAUAAUUAAUAGAAAGCUUUUUGAAUCCACUUCCGUGCAGAAGAAAAGAAAAUAUUAACUGCUGUUGGGGUUUGGUCUUUUGCUGUGUCCUGUAACGCUAAACGCUGGCCCCCAAGGCCUAGCUGCCCCCAGAAAGGAGAGGAUCUGCAUGUAAAGUAGUGCUCCUAAAUUUAAAACUCUUGGUUGAAUAAAGAUGCCGACAGCCCACGUAGCUGGGCAGAAGAAAGGUAGGGGGCUAGGGGAAGUGUUUUUAGUUCCUGAGCUUGGGAUCCGAGGGGGGGUCACGAAAGGGAAG
rnacentral:sRNA from 1 species